AACUAUAAAAGCAGCACGCAGCCUUUCUCGCUCUCUUUUCUAGAACAAAUCUCGGGUAGUGAAGACGAGGCUAGUGGACGAAAGGAAUGUGUUAGGCUCGUGACUGUCUGAGGACUACAAAUCAAAGGUGGAAAGUCUUCAGUGGAAAUCAUCAGUUUUGUCAAGUGUUUGAGGCUGACACUUUGGGUCUUUGGAUGUCACCUGGAGCUGUUUCAUGCUAGCUUGAGUGCUUUUAAUGCAACUUGGACUGUCUGUAAUGUAAUUUGUAUUUGUUAAUAAAAUAUUUUUUAACUCAA